UUUCCCUUCAGAGCCUGGCUUU
rnacentral:miRNA from 1 species